rnacentral:rRNA from 1 species
AGAGUUUGAUCCUGGCUCAGGAUGAACGCCGGCGGUGUGCCUAAUACAUGCAAGUCGUACGCACUGGCCCAACUGAUUGAUGGUGCUUGCACCUGAUUGACGAUGGAUCACCAGUGAGUGGCGGACGGGUGAGUAACACGUAGGUAACCUGCCCCGGAGCGGGGGAUAACAUUUGGAAACAGAUGCUAAUACCGCAUAACAACAAAAGCCACAUGGCUUUUGUUUGAAAGAUGGCCUUGGCUAUCACUCUGGGAUGGACCUGCGGUGCAUUAGCUAGUUGGUAAGGUAACGGCUUACCAAGGCGAUGAUGCAUAGCCGAGUUGAGAGACUGAUCGGCCACAAUGGAACUGAGACACGGUCCAUACUCCUACGGGAGGCAGCAGUAGGGAAUCUUCCACAAUGGGCGCAAGCCUGAUGGAGCAACACCGCGUGAGUGAAGAAGGGUUUCGGCUCGUAAAGCUCUGUUGUUGGAGAAGAACGUGCGUGAGAGUAACUGUUCACGCAGUGACGGUAUCCAACCAGAAAGUCACGGCUAACUACGUGCCAGCAGCCGCGGUAAUACGUAGGUGGCAAGCGUUAUCCGGAUUUAUUGGGCGUAAAGCGAGCGCAGGCGGUUGCUUAGGUCUGAUGUGAAAGCCUUCGGCUUAACCGAAGAAGUGCAUUGGAAACUGUUGAACUUGAGUGCAGAAGAGGACAGUGGAACUCCAUGUGUAGCGGUGGAAUGCGUAGAUAUAUGGAAGAACACCAGAGGCGAAGGCGGCUGUCUGGUCUGCAACUGACGCUGAGGCUCGAAAGCAUGGGUAGCGAACAGGAUUAGAUACCCUGGUAGUCCAUACCGUAAACGAUGAGUGCUAGGUGUUGGAGGGUUUCCGCCCUUCAGUGCCGGAGCUAACGCAUUAAGCACUCCGCCUGGGGAGUACGACCGCAAGGUUGAAACUCAAAGGAAUUGACGGGGGCCCGCACAAGCGGUGGAGCAUGUGGUUUAAUUCGAAGCUACGCGAAGAACCUUACCAGGUCUUGACAUCUUGCGCUAACCUUAGAGAUAAGGCGUUCCCUUCGGGGACGCAAUGACAGGUGGUGCAUGGUCGUCGUCAGCUCGUGUCGUGAGAUGUUGGGUUAAGUCCCGCAACGAGCGCAACCCUUGUUACUAGUUGCCAGCAUUAAGUUGGGCACUCUAGUGAGACUGCCGGUGACAAACCGGAGGAAGGUGGGGACGACGUCAGAUCAUCAUGCCCCUUAUGACCUGGGCUACACACGUGCUACAAUGGACGGUACAACGAGUCGCAAGCUCGCGAGAGUAAGCUAAUCUCUUAAAGCCGUUCUCAGUUCGGACUGUAGGCUGCAACUCGCCUACACGAAGUCGGAAUCGCUAGUAAUCGCGGAUCAGCAUGCCGCGGUGAAUACGUUCCCGGGCCUUGCACACACCGCCCGUCA